ACUUAUCCAAUAAGGUUCUGACCCAUACAACAGUCAGCACUUAACAAGCAAGGCAUUUCAAUUUGCUUUACUUUACCUUCAAAAUCUCUCAACCGGGUUUCAAAGUACUACCCGUCUGCGGUUUGCCGCCACUCCAGGCCUCAGCCAUUGACCCACCGGCCACCGUACCGCCAUCAGCCCAUCAUGGUUUGAACUUUGAAGAAAUUCGUAGAAAGAUACAAUUUUGUCUGCCAUAUCCAUCAUAGAUUGAGGUAUGCUUGAUCUACUUGAUUAGUUUUAGCAUUAUAAAUUUGUCUCUAAGGAUUGAUUUUGAUAUUGAUUUUGAACUCACCAUUCGCAAUAGCUGUUGAGUAUCCAUUGAUGUGCAACUGCUAGCUGUUUUGUUUUUGGAGACUAAGUGAUGGACUCUGUUUGAUGUGGGAAUCCAUGAUUCCACUUGGAAUACUUAUUGCAACGAGGUAUCUUAUCCAUCCAAAUAUUUUCCAAGUUCUUGACUCGUUUAUUGACUAAAGUACGAUUGAAAAGCAAAUAUGGUUUUGUUAUUCGAUCCAAAAUUCAAUCGUGUUAGGGCACAAUUAACAGGGGCGGAUCCACAUUAGGGCACCCCCUGGCACGUGCUCGGGGACAAUUUCAGAAGAAAAUUAAAAUUGAAAAAUCCGAAAGUCAAGGGAAUGGGGAAAGAAGGAUGCGCGACAUUCUCAAAGCAGAAUUCUGAUUUUUACCCAUUCACCUUCUCUCUUAAUCCCUAAAACUUACUUAGCCACCGCCACUGCCCCGCCAUUUAAGUCGGCGGGCCACCACUGCUGCCCUGCUAUUUAAGUCGGCAGGCCACCACCGCUGCCCUGCCACUCCAGUAGACUACCGCCAACCUCUUGUCGCCUUCUAAAUUUAGACAGAAAUCGAAGCAUGCAUGAUGUAGCAAUGCUACAGUGCUCUCCAGAAUUUUGAAGAAAGCUUUGUUAAAUCUUGUAGUAAUUGCUUUUCUCUUACUUUUUCUCUUUUUCUAAAUUUUGUCUAAACUCUAUGUCUUUUUCAUCUUUUUGCAUUAUUUUCUUUUUACUUCUAUAAAUUAUUCAUUUCUGUUUUUAUGGGGUUAGUUUUUUGUUUUAUUUUUUGUUUUAUUUUUAUUUUUUUUUUUUGUGGUUGAAACUUGAAAUUAUUGGUUCUUUUGGUUAAAUUACACAAAUUGAGGGUUUAAAUUGAUAAAGAAAGGUGAAAUUUUUAUGGGUAGUUCAUAAAAGGUGUGAUGAUUAGUGCCAUUUAAUCUCUUUCACCAUUACAGUAUUGAAGUUUGCUCACAUAAGCUUCUUUGAUGAACAUCACUCAUCAGUUAAUCAUUUCUCUUGAAUAUAAAACACGACAUUCACAAUAGGUAAAAGCUAGUCAUUUCGACAGUGCAAAUCCACAUGUAAAGAAUCCUCGCUCAACAUAGCACACUCAUCCAUCAACAAAGCCUGAUGACUUGCUACAAAAACUGGCUCUGUCAUCUUCAUUGGAUUCACAUUCAGGACUAAAGGUUUUAUAUUUAUUUAGACUGCGUUUUCCAUCAGUAGCUUCACCAACAGAGACUUUGUCGAGGAUAAACCUAUCAAUGUUUUAUGACAUAGUUUGGUAGGAUAUAUUAGGUUAUUCUAUUUAGUAAUUUGGUAUCUUUGAAGAGUGUUCUGUUAGAAACUUGUACUGUUGCCACGUCUAGAGGGAUCUUUAUAAUUAUAUUCAUGAGAUCUUUGAAAGGAUUUGAUGUAUGUUGCAUUUUUAUUCUGGUGAGGUUAUUUUAUGCUUUCAACAGUGAUGGGAAAAUGAUUCAGCGUUAGUCAUAUAAGCAGGGUGUAAAGCAAAUUAAAAGAGUAGGCAAUGUUCUCCAUUUGGGUAAGCAACACUGGCUUCUGCAGUACUGCCUUUAACUGACGUAUUUUCUAUUGGUUGACAAAGAAUUAUGAUAAUGUUGUAAGCUCUAAGGUUAUCUUUGAGGCAAUGUUUUCUGAGUAUGUUGGGUGUAAUGUAAGUUGCAAGUAACUUAAGUGUUAAUGUGUUAAUGUGUAGUAUAAUUGUCAAAAACUAAUUUCAGCUGUGUGUUGACACUUUAUAUAAGUGUUGGUUUAAUUUGUGAGUAAUUUAAGAAUGUGUAAUACUUGAAUGGCUAAUUAUAGUUGAUCAUGAUAACUAGGUUCUAUUAGUACAAUACAGAACUAAUUUCAUCUGAUCAUAUAGAUUGGAGUUUUUACUUGCAACUUCAGGACUAGUUGCUGAGUUAAUGCACAAACGUACUGAUCACACAGAUCAGAGCUGAUAAUACAGAUCAUACAUAUGUUGUGCUUCCAAUUACAAAGGAUGGAAAAAUAAGUGUGUUUAGGUGGCCAACAAGUAACAAAUAUGACAAUCACAAGUACGACAUACAAGCAUCUAAAAACAGUUAUAAAGACGUUUUACAUUGGCUUUGGGUUUUGUAUUUUUUUAGUAACUAAACUUCUCCAUGUAAAUAUCAUGGGAAUGAUAUUUUUUUAUUUGAAUAUUUCUAGAUAUUUUGUUUUAUUAUGAUUGACAAAAUUUAUGAAAUUUUCUUAAUCAAAUACAGUAUAUUUAUGUUUUGAAAUGUAAACAUAUAUUAUUUAGACUAUU